GAGCGGAAGACAGGAGCUUGCUCCUGAAUUCAGCGGCGGACGGGUGAGUAAUGCCUAGGAAUCUGCCUGGUAGUGGGGGAUAACGUUUGGAAAGGAACGCUAAUACCGCAUACGUCCUACGGGAGAAAGCAGGGGACCUUCGGGCCUUGCGCUAUCAGAUGAGCCUAGGUCGGAUUAGCUAGUUGGUGAGGUAAUGGCUCACCAAGGCGACGAUCCGUAACUGGUCUGAGAGGAUGAUCAGUCACACUGGAACUGAGACACGGUCCAGACUCCUACGGGAGGCAGCAGUGGGGAAUAUUGGACAAUGGGCGAAAGCCUGAUCCAGCCAUGCCGCGUGUGUGAAGAAGGUCUUCGGAUUGUAAAGCACUUUAAGUUGGGAGGAAGGGCAUUAACCUAAUACGUUAGUGUUUUGACGUUACCGACAGAAUAAGCACCGGCUAA
rnacentral:rRNA from 1 species